rnacentral:rRNA from 1 species
AUUUGAAUGCACCGGCUCCCUUACGAUCGCCAAAGUUAAGCAACGUCGAGCCUGGUCAGUACCUAGAUGGGUGACCGCUUGGGAAUACCAGGUGCUGUAAG